rnacentral:rRNA from 1 species
AUUGAACGCUGGCGGCAUGCCUUACACAUGCAAGUCGAACGGCAGCACGGGGGCAACCCUGGUGGCGAGUGGCGAACGGGUGAGUAACAUAUCGGAACAUACCCUAGAGUGGGGGAUAACGUAGCGAAAGUUACGCUAAUACCGCAUACGAUCUAAGGAUGAAAGUGGGGGGAUCUUCGGACCUCAUGCUCAUGGAGUGGCCGAUAUCUGAUUAGCUAGUUGGUGAGGUAAAGGCUCACCAAGGCGACGAUCAGUAGCUGGUUUGAGAGAACGACCAGCCACACUGGAACUGAGACACGGUCCAGACUCCUACGGGAGGCAGCAGUGGGGAAUUUUGGACAAUGGGGGCAACCCUGAUCCAGCAAUGCCGCGUGAGUGAAGAAGGCCUCGGUUGUAAGACUCUUUGUC